CUAACUUAAGCAGCAUUUCAGUGUCCUUGUUUCAAAACACCUCUGCCUGGUCUUCAUGAAACUCCAAAGGAUACAAAUCCACAUGAAUAUGAUAUUGAUUGUUGUUGCUUUAUUCAUGCUCUCCUUUAUAGCAGAAUGAAACUUCUCCUGACUCAGAUUUUGAUUCUUGGCUUCUCAGUAUUGCUGUCCUUUCCAACAGCUGAAGGAAUCACGUGUCAUCAGUGUUAUUCAGUUAAAAAGGACAAUAAAUGUAGAAAACCAUCCACCUGCGAUGUGUCUAAAACACAAUUUUGCUUCAUUCAAAGAAUCUCCAGAGGAGGAGACAUUAGGAAAAUAAGCCAAGGUUGCACUUCUUAUUGUGUAGAUAUUGUUCAGUUCACCAAUGCCUUUAUAAAGUAUACCUUUUGCUGCAGGACAGAUUACUGUAACAAAUAUAAUGUUUGGCAAUUUCUUUAACUUCAGUCUUGGCAGCAGCUGCUUCAUUCCUUCUGCUACUGACAACUCAUAUGUGUCUUCCAAACACAUGGGAUAAUAAUGUGACAUGGUGGUGGUGACUUCCUAUUUGUUUAUGUGGGUUGAAGGACCCAUUGGGAUACAGCUUUACAGUAUGUCUUUCCAGUAAGCCUCUGUGCUUUAGGGUUUUGUACAAUGAUCUGUUCACCAGACUUAGAGUUAAGGGAAUGAGGGGAGGAAGAAAUGUAAUUUUCAGACAAAAAUGGCCUCUACACAGUAACCUUGGCAAAUUGUCAAAUCUUUUGCUGCUUUUGUUCAUAUCACUCCUACUGGGAGUGAAUUGAAUGAGUAAAUAUGAGCAAUUUUGAAUGGCAGAGUGUCAUAUCUGCACAGCAGCGACAUAGAGCCAUCACCAAAUCACUCCAAGUUCACCAGGACUGAUGCUUUCCUACCUGAGGCAAAAAGACAAGAUGGGCCACCUUCUAUGUGAAGAAAGGGCUUGGACCAGCAAUGGCAAAUUCUCUUCCACUGCAUAUGAAUGCAAGAAGCAGGCAUUGUAGGACAGGCUGUAUUGUGCUCAUAGUUCUCUUGAGGGUCACCAAAAACAAUAUAGAUUUUUGUGGCACCUUAAAGACCAACCAUUUUUUAAAGUAUAAACUUUGAUGGAUUGCCCUUGAGUUCAUCAGAUAGGUGAGACGUUCCUCUGACAUGGAUAUUGGAUUUUGAUAGCCAUGAUGGAGGUGGUGGUGGUGGUGGUAGGGAGCAGAAAAUGAAGCCACCAAGACCAUGACAUUAGGAAUGAUUACUUAAUAGCUCACGUACAGGAGGUUUCUUGGCCUUCCAGAUGUUUUGAAUAGCAGUUUCCACCAUCCCAACAAUAAAACAUUGGGAAAGCAAGUCUAAGCCAUUUCCAGAUAUAGGAAGUGCCAAUUCAUUUACAAAACAAUUAUUGGUUGUGACAAAGGCAUUCUUACACUGACGAGCUGAUUAGCAUAUUGUGUGAUAAAGAAAUGUUAAUCUCUGUUUAAUCCUUGAGAAACAAUGUAAAACAUCCUAAUAAACUUGAGCUCCUUUUAUUCUCUCCUUUCCACGUACAUGAUUUGUUUUUUGGAGUGAGAAAUGAGUAAUAAUAUAUCUUGCUAUGUCUUCUAAUAAGAUAAUUCAAACUGGUUGUGUGGUUUCUCUGAUUUCUUCUACCCUCGUCUUUCCCAAAAUGCAGCAGGGAAAA